GCAACACACAGGACCAACGAGCUGACAACAUGACGAAUAUUUAAUAUGAUGGCUGAGCCUUUCUGACAAAAUUGAAUCGGAGAUCAUCCAGGAGAAAAAAAAAAGGGGAGGGAGGGGCUGUACGGAGGACAGAAACACCUCAGGUUUUAUUUAAAUGAGUAACCAUUAAAGCAAGCGGUUUCCUUGAGGACAGCCGUUUCCUCUACAUCAAAAAAAGGGAGGAAAAAAAAUCAGAGCAAAGCCUCUUUCUCUGAAACAGUUUAACAAAAUGUUUCAAAGAUUCCUCCAGGCUACCUUGAGAUUAUUCACUGCUUACAAGAGAAGGAUUUGAAACUUAAAGGGGAAACAGCAUGGAUGUGCUGUUAUGCUCUCUAGGUGUCCCCCCAGUGGCAUUUAAAAUAGCAUUACGGACCUGCCUGCAGCACUUAGAGAUAUCAUUUAAUCAUAAUGAUGUCGUUCAAACUAUUCACUCCGUUGUUACGAAUUUUAGGUGCUAAUCAAUAUCAGAAGAGUCAUCUUUCUAAAUGUCUGCCUUUUCCACUUUGUUGUGUAAAUGCAAACUGGAGCUGUUUUGACAAGCCUUCCAGCCAUAGAGAUAUGGAUUUCCUCUGCUGUGUUAAAAAUGGUUGCCUACCUUAGGUGUGGAUGAGUGCAGGUAAUCCAGGUCUGCGCUACAGCUGCUUCCAUGAAGAGCAAUCAUUGAUGCCUGGAAAGUGUCAUCCUCUAUCCCAGUCCCAGACCCACAUAGGGGACGCAAGAAGACAUAUUGGAGGAUUACACUUGCCAGACUCAAUUUUGAAAGGCGAAACAACAAAAAUACCCCUCAGAAGGACAUUCCACGUCCUGCAGGAGAGUUGGAUAACUCCCACAGAAGCUUCCUACAGCUCUGUAAUCCAGGUAGUGGUUUGGCGACUCCUAUCUGCACCUUUCCGAGCUUGGCCCCCUUAAGGGCCUGGACAGCAUCCUCCAAGCUGGCAUUCUCC